AUGGUGUCAUUUUUUUUAAACAUCGAAGAGGAAUUUCAGGAAGGCACCCCUUUCUUCUUCAGAGGCCAGCGUAUUUGGGAAGCAGUCAUUAGGGAACUUUUAUCAAGAAGUAGCCUUCCUACAAAAAAAAGGGCAGUUGAUUCUUUAGAAGUAUUUGGAGCAACCAAAAUUGAAGUGAGAACACGAUACUUCACUGGUGUGUCCAUACAUAUGUCUAUAUAUACAGUGGAACUCCAAGUGAGUACGAAUCAAAUGAAUGAUGCCCCAAGAGCUCGGGUGCAUUUCAAAAUGUUCUAUUCCUCCCACAUUCAGCCAACUGGAGUAUCCUGCUCUCCCUUCUAG
rnacentral:rRNA from 1 species